AUACGUCAUCCGCCUGGGGAGUACGGUCGCAAGAUUAAAACUCAAAGGAAUUGACGGGGGCCCGCACAAGCGGUGGAUGAUGUGGUUUAAUUCGAUGCAACGCGAAAAACCUUACCUACCCUUGACAUGUCUAGAAGUUACCAGAGAUGGUUUCGUGCUCGAAAGAGAACUAGAACACAGGUGCUGCAUGGCCGUCGUCAGCUCGUGUCGUGAGAUGUUGGGUUAAGUCCCGCAACGAGCGCAACCCUUAUCAUUAGUUGCUACGCAAGGGCACUCUAAUGAGACUGCCGGUGACAAACCGGAGGAAGGUGGGGAUGACGUAGCUAAGCCUUC
rnacentral:misc_RNA from 1 species